rnacentral:rRNA from 1 species
UCGGGAAUUUUGGACAAUGGCCGAAAGGCUGAUCCAGCGACGCCGCGUGAGGGAAGAAGGCUUUCGGGUUGUAAACCUCUUUUCACUAGGAGGCUGCCACCCCAUAUUUCUUAUUGAAGAAAUAUGAGGUGGCAGAUACAGUACUAGUGGAAUAAGUCACGGCUAACUACGUGCCAGCAGCCGCGGUAAUACGUAGGUGGCAAACGUUAUUCGGAAUUACUGGGUGUAAAGCGUUCGUAGGCGAUUUUUUAGGUCCUUGAUUAAAUAUGUAAGCUCAACUUACUUAAGGUUAAGGAAACCAUUAGAAUUGAGGGGCAUCGAGGUAAGUGGAAUUUGCGGUGUAGCAGUGAAAUGCGUUGAUAUCGCAAGGAACACCAAUGGCGAAGGCAGCUUACUAGGUGUCACCUGACGCUGAGGAACGAAAGCGUGGGUAGCAAACGGG